UUUCCUGGGCGAGCCUGAUGCAGCCAUGCCGCGUGAUGAUGAAGGUCUUAGGAUUGUAAAAUUCUUUUGCGGGGACGAUAAUGACGGUACCCGGAGAAGAAGCCCCGGCUAACUUCGUGCCAGCAGCCGCGGUAUUACUAAGGGGGCUAGCGUUGCUCGGAAUUACUGGGCGUAAAGGGCGCGUAAGCGGAUCGUUAAGUCAGAGGUGAAAUCCCAGGGCUCAACCCUGGAACUGCCUUUGAUACUGGCGAUCUUGACUAUGAUAGAGGUAUGUGGAACUCCGAGUGUAAAAGUGAAAUUCAUAUAUAUUCGGAAGAACACCAUUGGCGAAGGCGACAUACUGCCUCAUUACUGACGCUGAGGCCCUAAAGCGUGGGGAGCAAACAGGAUUAAAUACCCUGGUAGUCCACGCCAUAAACUAUGAUGGCUAUCUGUCGGGCUGCAUGCAGUUCGGUGACGUUGCUAACGCAUUAACUCAUCCGCCUGGGGAGUACGGUCGCAAGAUUAAAACUCGAAUGAAAUUGACGGAGUUCAAACUCAAAGGAAGUUGACGGAG
rnacentral:rRNA from 1 species